GCCACAACAUUCCAUCUUCCUAGAAUGAUGUCCAAACAGCUCUCACAGCAACACAUGGACUCCACAUGAGGAAUCUUGAUGUAUCCGAUUAUAUUACCAACCAGUCCUUCAACUUCAGAAUGCUCUGAUGUCCAGUUCAGAUGCUUGUGUGCACAUUGUAGAUGCUUUUGUGCUCGUGGACAGGAGUUAGCAAGGGCACUUUGACUAGCCUAGCUUGUCUGUUUUCGGACCACUGUUGGUUGGUGCUCACCACGGCUGCCAGGUAACCCAAGAGGCAUAGAUCUUGGCAGCAGUCCAUGUGAGUGAAGGAGCUUGGUUCCAGAUACUCAGUGGGGAGGCAUUGCCAUUGUAGAUGUCCAGCAGAACCAAGCUGACAGAGCACUGGUACUGAUCACAAGCCAUGACGAAGAAGAAGACUAUGAACGGGGCUGUGCACAGCAGCAGAACGACUCCAGCCAGUGAAAACCAGUCCACCUCCCUGGUACAGAUGAUGGAAUGAGAAAUUAGAACGUCCAAAAAUCAAUCUGUAGUUUACUGUAAAUGAUUGAUGCUGUUCUUUUAUUAUAAAACUGUGAACUAAACCUUGUAAA